rnacentral:rRNA from 1 species
CCUACGGGAGGCAGCAGUGGGGAAUAUUGGGCAAUGGGCGCAAGCCUGACCCAGCAACGCCGCGUGAAGGAAGAAGGCUUUCGGGUUGUAAACUUCUUUUCUGAGGGACGAAGAAAGUGACGGUACCUCAGGAAUAAGCCACGGCUAACUACGUGCCAGCAGCCGCUGUAAUACGUAGGUGGCAAGCGUUAUCCGGAUUUAUUGGGUGUAAAGGGUGUGUAGGCGGGAAAGCAAGUCAGAUGUGAAAACUCAGGGCUCAACCCUUGGCCUGCAUGUGAAACUGUUUUUCUUGAGUGCUGGAGAGGCAAUCGGAAUUCGGGGUGUAGCGGUGAAAUGCGUAGAUAUACGGAGGAACACCGGUGGCGAAGGCAGAUUGCUGGACAGUGACUGACGCUGAGGCGCGAAAGCGUGGGGAGCGAACAGGAUUAGAUACCCUGGUAGUC